UGUUCAACCUGAGACCCAAGGGCUGCAUGGCCCAGGAUAGAUAGGAACAUGGUAACUUGACCUUUAUUUCAGGAUUUGGUUUUAAAAUUUUUAAAUUUUGUGUUUGUGUGUGUGUGUGUACCUCUGUGUGGGUAUAUGCACUUGUGUGCUGGUGCCUAAGGAGGCUACAGAGGGUGACUGAUCCUCUGAAACUGGAGUUACAUUCAAUUGGAUGAGUGUUGGGAUCUAACUUGGGUCCUUAUCAAGGGCAGGAAAUAUUCUUCACCAGUGAACCAUCUCUUCAGCCCCCACUCCCUUAUAGAGAAAUGUCAGGGUAGAGUAGAGUUAUACCGACUACGAUUAGCCCAAUUAGGGAAAAGACAGCUAAGACUGGACUAUAAAUAUUAAAAAUGAGAUCUUUAAUAUAAGUACAAAAUAUUGUUUCUUUAUACAACUGUAAUAGGAUUUGGAUCAAACCACUAGGAUUUAUUUAAAAAAACAAAAUAAAACAAUGAUAU
rnacentral:lncRNA from 1 species